AUGUUUGCGACGGCGGCGCGGUGGGCGGCGAAGAAGGGGAAGCCCAAGAUGGCGCCGAUCGAGCUCACGACGGCGCCGGAUCAGGCGCAGUCCAUCACCCGCACCAUCUUCGACGUCGUCAAGGAGCACGGCCCCCUCACCAUCUCCGACGUUUGGGAGCACGUCAAGGAUGUAGGCCUGAGGGGUUUGACAAGCAAGAGGCAGAUGAAGAUCAUGCUGCGGUGGAUGAGGGAGAAGCAGAAGCUCCGGCUCAUCUGCGACCAUGACGGACCUCACAAACAAUUCCUCUACACGACAUGGUUCACCAACCCCAAGAAUGCGCCGCAGAGGCCCAAGAGGGAGCUCAGCAGAGAGCCUCCCAAGCCAUGA
rnacentral:rRNA from 1 species